AGUGAACGCUGGCGGCGUGCCUAAUACCUGCAAGUCGAACGAAGCGGCGCACGGGUGAGUAAUAUAUAGCUACUCUGCCCCACACAGCGGCACAAUAGCUGGAAACGACUGCUCAUACCUCAUAUUGUCGGCUGAGACUCUAUCGUAUCAGCUAGUUGGUAAGGUAAUGGCUUAACAAGGCUAUGACGAGUAACUGGUCUGAGAGGAUGAUCAUUAACAUGUGAACUGAGACACGGUCCAAACUCCUACUGUAGGCAGCAGGAAGGAAUAUUGCGCAAUGGGAGUAACCCAGAGGGAGCAACGUGGUGUGGAGGAUGAGACUUUUCGGAUCGGAAACUCCGUUUAUCAGGAAAGCGUUACCUGAUGAAUAAGCACCGGCUAACUACGUGCCAGCAGCCGCGGUAAUAC
rnacentral:rRNA from 1 species